GGGAAUAUUGGACAAUGGGGGCAACCCUGAUCCAGCAAUGCCGCGUGUGUGAAGAAGGUCUUCGGAUUGUAAAGCACUUUCGACGGGGACGAUGAUGACGGUACCCGUAGAAGAAGCCCCGGCUAACUUCGUGCCAGCAGCCGCGGUAAUACGAAGGGGGCUAGCGUUGCUCGGAAUGACUGGGCGUAAAGGGCGUGUAGGCGGUUUACACAGUCAGAUGUGAAAUCCCCC
rnacentral:rRNA from 1 species